rnacentral:rRNA from 1 species
GUCCACGCCCUAAACGAUGGGCACUAGGUGUGGGAGGUAUCGACCCCUUCCGUGCCGCAGCUAACGCAUUAAGUGCCCCGCCUGGGGAGUACGGCCGCAAGGUUGAAACUCAAAGGAAUUGACGGGGGCCCGCACAAGCGGUGGUGCAUGUGGUUUAAUUCGACGCAACGCGAAGAACCUUACCUGGGCUUGACAUCCCUGGAAUCCCCUUGAAAGAGGGGAGUGCCCGCAAGGGAGCCAGGAGACAGGUGCUGCAUGGCUGUCGU